rnacentral:lncRNA from 1 species
AAAAGUCUCACCCAAAAAAUCCCUCAAAAGCACCCCAAGAAUCUGCCAAAAAAAUCUCAAAAAAAUCUCAAAAAUCGCCAAAAAAAUCACCCAAAAAAUCUUAAAUAAAUCUCAAAAAAAACCCCAAAAAAUGCCCUAAAAUCCCCUUUAAAACUCCCCCAAAAAAUCCAAAAAACCCUCACAAAUCCCCCCAAAAAAUCAACCCAAAAAUCCCACAAAAUCCUCCCAAAAACCCAUCCAAAAACCCAAAACUCCCCUUAAAAAUUCCCCAAAAAAAUCCUCAAAAAAGCCCCGAAAAAUUCCCAAAAAAAUCCAAAAAAAAUCCUCCAAAUUCUCCCAAAUCAUCCCCAAAAAAUUCCCAAAAAAAUCCCAAAAAAUCCUCAAAAAAACCCCAAAAAAUCCUCUAAAUUAUCCCCCAAAAAAACCCAAAAAAUCCAAAAAAAAAUCCUCCAAAUUUUCCCAAAUUAUCCCCAAAAAAUCCCAAAAAAAACCCCCAAAAAUUCCCCAAAAAAUCCCCCAAAAUUCCCAAUCUUUGCCCAUUUUCUGCUCCCGUUCCCGUUGGAUCUCAGGGGGCUCCGGGGAGCCCGGGGGGCCCUCGAAUAAAUCAGCUGCAGGAAAAAAUCAGAAUGUGAAAAGCCAAAAAAACCCUGAAAAAAUAAAAAAAAAAGGGGAAAAAAUCGGCAAAAAAAUUGCCAAAAUAUCCCAAAAAAUCCACUCAAAAAACCCCAAAAAUGCUCACAAAACAACCCAAAACAUCCCUCAAAAAAUCCCCAAAAAACCCCAAAAAUUCACAGAAAAAAAUCAAAAAAAUCCCUCAAAAUAAACCCAAAAAUUUACAGCAAAAAAUCAAAAAAAUCCCUCAAAAUAACCCCAAAAAUUCAACCCAAAAACUCCACAAAAAUCCCACAAAAUCCUCCCAAAAACCCAGCCAAAACCCAAAACUCCCCUUAAAAAUUCCCCCAAAAAUCCCUCAAAAAAUCCUCCAAAAAUUCCCAAAAAAAUCCCAAAAAA